GACGAACGCUGGCGGCGUGCCUAAUACAUGCAAGUUGAGCGCUGAAGGCUGGUACUUGUUGUAACUGGAUGAGCAGCGAACGGGGGAGUAACGCGUGAGGAAUCUGCCUUUUAGCGGGGGCCAACAUUUGGAAACGAAUGCUAAUACCUCAUAAAAACUUUAAACACAAGUUUUAAGUUUGAAAGAUGCAAUUGCAUCACUCAAAUGUGAUCCCGCGUUGUAUUAGCUAGUUGGUGAGGUAAAGGCUCACCAAGGCGAAGAUACAUAGCCGACCUGAGAGGGUGAUGGGCCAAAUUGGGAAUGGGGACUGGCACAAAGUCCUGCGGGAUGCAGCAGUAAGGAGUCGUGGGUAAUGGACGAAAGUCUGAACGAGCAAGGCCGCGUGAGUGAAGAAGGAUUUCGGAUCGUAAAACGCUGUUGGUAGAGAAGAGCGUUGGUGAGAGUGGAAAGCUCAUCAAGUGACGGUAACUACCCAGAAAGGGACGGCUAACUACGUG
rnacentral:rRNA from 1 species